AGCGAACGCUGGCGGCAGGCCUAACACAUGCAAGUCGAACGGAUCCUUCGGGAUUAGUGGCGGACGGGUGAGUAACACGUGGGAACGUGCCCUUUGGUUCGGAACAACUCAGGGAAACUUGUGCUAAUACCGGAUGUGCCCUUCGGGGGAAAGAUUUAUCGCCAUUGGAGCGGCCCGCGUCUGAUUAGCUAGUUGGUGAGGUAACGGCCCACCAAGGCGACGAUCAGUAGCUGGUCUGAGAGGAUGAUCAGCCACACUGGGACUGAGACACGGCCCAGACUCCUACGGGAGGCAGCAGUGGGGAAUCUUGCGCAAUGGGCGAAAGCCUGACGCAGCCAUGCCGCGUGAAUGAUGAAGGUCUUAGGAUUGUAAAAUUCUUUCAGCGGGGACGAUAAUGACGGUACCCGCAGAAGAAGCUCCGGCUAACUUCGUG
rnacentral:rRNA from 1 species